rnacentral:lncRNA from 1 species
CUCCUGCUGUAUUUUCCCAAGUGCUCAGUACAGGGUUCUGCACACGGCAAGUGUUCAAUAAGCACAAUUAAUUGAUUGGGAUCCCCGUUCAUCUCCAGGACGUUAUCUGGCCCGCAAGGUCGGACUGAAGACUGACUCUCCCACGACAGACUUCUCCACCAUCCUCCCGGUGGUUUUCGUAUCCUCAGACCACCUCCUGUGAAUUCAGCAGGGGAAGUAAGGACCUCGAUCGAUCGACGCGUUCAUUAGGCACUUAAUACGUGCCGAGCACUGUACUACAGCGUUUGAGACCGUACAGAAUCCGGGUUCUCGUCCUGGCUCCACCACUUGCCUGAGGACGCGGCCACAUGCGCGUCUGUGAAACGGGAACACAGAUCAACGCUCAACUCGACGUCAAGGGAGGUGGAUGUUGUCUGCUCUGGUUAUCUUGUCUCCAUCCCCAGCACCGCACACAACCCGUGUUCGAGACAAAGAAAGCGGUGCCCGGAGAGGAGACCUCCAAUUAGAGGGCAGUGUGCACAUCUAGGGCUUGGACUUCAUUCAUUUGGAUAAAAUAGGAAACAAAAAUCUCAUCAGAGAACCUUCUACUGAGAAAAGAAGGGGUUUUAGGGAACUCUUGAUGCUCUCCAUUUCAAACCGAAGUAAGCGUGGGAAGGAUUAAAUGUUCGGCUCUGCUUUUUUUGCUUGUUGUGGGCAUUGUAAAGCCAUCGUCCCUUUAAACGUCAUCACAAUCAUGAAAAAUCCCCCAUUUAGGACACACUUUCCUCAAAGGGUGUAACGUAGGCUAGUGAAAAGAGCACAGGACUGUGAGUCAGAUCUGGGUUCUCGUCCCGGCUCUGCCGCUUGCUGAUCCCGCAGGAGGUUAAGAAGUUUCUGGAGAGUCAUGAGAGAAGAAAUACUGGUGGUAGAAGAAUUUAUUGAGCAUCGCCUUGAUGUGGAGCAGCAUACUGGAUGCUUGGCAAGUUCAGAAUAAAGACCUGACGCCUCUUCCGAUCGCAGAGAGACACAUACGUGGCGUUAUAUACAACUAGAGCGGACAAAAUGAUUCAGUACACACAUACACAUCAUCUAUUAUUAAGGGCCUUUAUCAUCGAAGAUAAUUUCCUUGAUUAAGUCCUAUUUUCCCCAACUUACUCUCCCUAAUCUGUGCACUUGGAUUUCUGACCUUCGGACAUUUCAUGUUCAUCCCAACCUCACGGAACCUUUGGACGUAUCUUGGAAUCUGAUUUAUUCGCAUAAAUGUGCGUCUCCUCCUCUAGACUGUCAGCUCACUGCGGUUAGGGAACGUGCCUGCCGAUCCCGCUGCCUUAUACUCCCCCAAGCAAUUAGUACAGUGCUCUGCACAAGGUAAUCGCUCUCUAAAUAUCGACCGAUUGAUCGAUAUGCCUCAGUCCUAAAGACGGAUAUGUGACCCGGCGAAAAAAGCC